UACGGAGGGAGCUAGCGUUGUUCGGAAUUACUGGGCGUAAAGCGCGCGUAGGCGGCUUUGUAAGUUAGAGGUGAAAGCCCGGGGCUCAACCCCGGAACUGCCUUUAAGACUGCAUCGCUUGAAUCCGGGAGAGGUGAGUGGAAUUCCGAGUGUAGAGGUGAAAUUCGUAGAUAUUCGGAAGAACACCAGUGGCGAAGGCGGCUCACUGGACCGGUAUUGACGCUGAGGUGCGAAAGCGUGGGGAGCAAACAGG
rnacentral:rRNA from 2 species